rnacentral:rRNA from 1 species
AUUGAACGCUGGCGGCAGGCCUAACACAUGCAAGUCGAGCGGAUGAAGGGAGCUUGCUCCUGGAUUCAGCGGCGGACGGGUGAGUAAUGCCUAGGAAUCUGCCUUGUAGUGGGGGAUAACGUCCGGAAACGGGCGCUAAUACCGCAUACGUCCUGAGGGAGAAAGUGGGGGAUCUUCGGACCUCACGCUAUCAGAUGAGCCUAGGUCGGAUUAGCUAGUUGGUUGGGUAAAGGCCUACCAAGGCGACGAUCCGUAACUGGUCUGAGAGGAUGAUCAGUACCACUGGAACUGAGACACGGUCCAGACUCCUACGGGAGGAAGCAGUGGGGAAUAUUGGACAAUGGGCGAAAGCCUGAUCCAGCCAUGCCGCGUGUGUGAAGAAGGUCUUCGGAUUGUAAAGCACUUUAAGUUGGGAGGAAGGGCAGUAAGUUAAUACCUUGCUGUUUUGACGUUACCAACAGAAUAAGCACCGGCUAACUUCGUG